UCAGAGCUCAAGAUGGCCGCCAGAAAUGGGGGGGAUCGGGGACCAAGAUGGCCGCUGGAAGUCAAGAUAUCUGGCCUAAGUGGCCACCAGAAGUGGGGGUACCAGGGCCCGAGACGGCCACCAGAAAUGGGGGUAUGAAAGCCCAAGACAGCCACCGGAAGUGGGGUAUCAGGGUUCAAAAUGGCCACCGGAAGUGGGGUAUCAGGGUCCAAAAUGGCCACCGGAAGUGGGAAUAUUGAGUCUUUCCUACUGUCCCCCAUAGUGGCAGUGCGAUGCCCAGCAGCGCUGCAGGACGCCAUGUUGGAUUUGAGCCCCACGCUCCAGGCCCUGGCACAGGCGGGGCCCGUGGAGCUCCUCCCCCAGGGGGCGGGGCCGGAAGUGGGGCCGGAAGUGGGGCCUGGAUGGGUGGGGGCUCCCACAGGGACCGGCAUCCAUGUCUACAUCUGUCUGCAGGACCUGGUGGACCCCCACUCUGAACGUGCCCGGCUCCACGCCCGCACCCUCAACCUCCAGCACCGCCUCCGUGCCCUCACCCCCAGGGGGGAGGACCCCACAUCCUCCUCCCCCCACCAACGCCAGGUUUGCAGCCUCCGUUCUGAGCUCGCCCUCCUCACCCUGGCACUGGAAGCUUUGGGACCCCCCCAGGAGGAAGGACGACCCCCCCAGGAUGGAUAAUGCCAAUAAAAACCCCCAUAGGAAAAGCUCUUAACGAGCC
rnacentral:lncRNA from 1 species